CGUGUCUCGAGAUUUAUCAUUUUGCAUGAUUUUGCGGAAUUCUAUGUUGUAGGGUUCAGAUUUUCUGACAUCUUUUUACAAUAUCGGGGCCUAAAGCCUUCAAAAAUCACUUUAGUAUUUGGCUUGUAAGGGGGUCAGAAAUUCUGAACUCCGUGUCUCGAGAUUUAUCAUUUUUGCAUGAUUUUGCGGAAUUCUAUGCUACAGGGUUCAUAUUUUCUGACACCUUUUUACAAUAUCGGGACCUAAAGCCUUCAGAAAUCACUUUAGUAUUUGGUUUGUAAGGGGGUCAGAAAUUCUGAACCCUGUGUCUCGAGAUUUAUCAUUUUUGCAUGAUUUUGCGGAAUUCUAUGCUGCAGGAUUCAGAUUUUCUGACACCUUUUUACAAUAUCGGGCCCUAAAGCCUUCAGAAAUCACUUUAGUAUUUUGCUUGUAAGGGGGUCAGAAAUCUGAACCCCGUGUCUCAAGAUUUAUCAUUUUUGCAUGAUUUUGCGGAAUUCUAUGUUGCAGGGUUCAGAUUUUCUGACACCUUUUUACAAUAUCGGGGCCUAAAGCCUUCAGAAAUCACUUUAGUAUUUUGCUUGUAAGGGGGUCAGAUUUUCUGAACCCCGUGUCUCAAGAUUUAUCAUUUUUGCAUGAUUUUGCGGAAUUCUAUGUUGCAGGGUUCAGAUUUUCCGACACCUUUUUACAAUAUCGGGGCCUAAAGCCUUCAGAAAUCACUUUAGUAUUUUUCUUGUAAGGGGGUCAGAUUUUCUGAACCCCGUGUCUCAAGAUUUAUUAUUUUUGCAUGAUUUUGCGGAAUUCUAUGUUGCAG